AUGGUUGUGCUUCGUCAUAGAAGUACUAGACGCGGUGCCAAGCGUGCUAACCAGAAUACUGUUGCUGGUAUAGGCAGCCCCAACAAUGAUAGCUCGCAAAUGUCUCGAUCUGAUGGCGUCAAUACUACUGCUCCUUUAUCUCAAAACAGUAAAGUGAUCCAAAGGCAGCCCACGUCUCGUCAAAAGGGGAGGAAAAGGAGGGCCACGGCAGAACUAAGAGUGCCUCCACAUUGUCAUAAAGUUGGCCUUGAACCGGAAGGUGACAUGCAAUUUAAUUAUGCUGACCCUAAUUCCAAACACUACAAGUAUACUAUGCAACUUGGAAUCAUUCUUAAACGAGAACACCCCGGCAUAAUUGAGAAGAAGGAAGGUGGUGUUGUCAUUAAAACCCGUCCAGCUUUGGAGUGGUUUGAUUAUUAUGAUGAUGAUACUCUAGAUGAUAAGGGGCAGACAGCAGCAGAUCGUGUGAAGCAAGUGUUUUGGAACUUGUUUGAGGUUCAUGUGAAAGAUGGUGAAGACCCGGACAAGGUAGAGGAUGAUGCUGAUCGUGUGUUGGACAACUAUGCAAUGAAAAAAGUGAGGGGCAUGAUGUAUCAAGUUCGUGUGGAUGCUGUGAAGUUCUACUAUGAGAAGAAAGGAGAGCUGCUUGAUGACACAUUGGCAUGUUCAAAAGAACUUGAAUAUGAUCAGUACCUGGAAGGCAGAAUGCCAUGGUUUAAGGAACAUGCAUGGCCUCAUCUUUGUGCUUAUUGGUGCUCAAAAGAGUGA
rnacentral:rRNA from 1 species